rnacentral:rRNA from 1 species
AGUGGGGAAUCUUUCGCAAUGGACGCAAGUCUGACGAAGCAACGCCGCGUGAGUGAGGAAGGCCUUUUUGGUUGUAAAGCUCUGUUGCCGGGGAAGAAAGUUAGUGUAAGGUAAUGUACAUUAAUUGACGGUACCUGGUGAGGAAGCACUGGCUAACUACGUGCCAGCAGCCGCGGUAAUACGUAGAGUGCAAGCGUUGUCCGGAAUCAUUGGGCGUAAAGGGUACGCAGGCGGAGAUACAAGUCAAAUGUGAAAGGUGUAGGCUUAACCUACAGACUGCGUUUGAAACUGCAUAUCUUGAGAGCAGCAGAGGAAGGCGGAAUUCCUGGUGUAGUGGUGAAAUACGUAGAUAUCAGGAAGAACACCAGUGGCGAAGGCGGUCUUCUGGGCUGCAUCUGACGCUCAUGUACGAAAGCUGGGGUAGCGAACGGGAUUAGAUACCCCGGUAGUCCCAGCUGUAAACGAUGGUCACUAGGUGUUGGAGGUUCGAAUCCUUCAGUGCCGGAGUUAACGCAUUAAGUGACCCG